UGUUGCUUAUUUCAAAUAUCUGCAUCUUUUUUACUAUUAUGUUGAUCCUUUUUCCUUUUCCGAAGGAUACCACUACUGGUCUUGCUUUUCCAAAGCCAACAUUUUUGCUUGGACUUACAUAGGAAGAUCCCCAACUAACUGAAAAAUCUCUUCCUGAUGUGGAUAUUGGCGAUGAACCUACGGACGAGGACAAAAGGUCUUCCUCGCACCAGUUCCUGCCACAUACAAUGAUGCUUUGGUGCCCCCAUAUAGGAAAAGCAAGCGGCCAAAAGUAGUUCCAAGGGGGCUGGUGCGAGAGUACCAUUGUGAUAAAUGAUUCCUUACUCGUGCUUGGGAAGACUUUGUCAAUGCUACUCGCAGAAUCCCAAACAUUGAUUAGUCAAAUUUGGUGUACUCUCAGAGAAACUCGGAUCGACAUUUGUUAUAAAUGUUGGUGACCUAUCUCUCGAUAGCAGAGAGUUGACUGCAAUUGUCGGAAGGUCUUCACAUUUACUUUCCAACGUAUGAAUACUCGAUCGUGAGGCUGAAGAAGUCCAUGAGGGUGACGGGACCAACAAUACAAGUGGAGAAGACAUGGUAAGACAUACUCGUUUUUUUUCAGAAUUGUCCAAAUUUAUAUUUGGAUUUUGAAGUACUAAUAUUAGCAACAAUGCACUCCACACUACAUUGCUACGAAUGUACUUAGAUUUUUAUUCAUAAAGAUUGCAGACACUAUGUUUUGUUUGGAUCGCCAAUGAUGUUUGUGUCAUUUUUUGUUUGUUCUGCUUCUACCACAUUGUUUGCUAAUUUUUUCAUUCCUGUCAAGGUCCAGCCAAAUAAAUUCUAGACCUAAGAAUUUUACCCGGACACGCAUUGUAAGGCUAUCUGAUUACCCUGCUACUUUUAUAAAAAUUCCGGUCAGAUAUAUGUUUAGCUGUCUAACUUAAUUAUUAUCAUUUUUCUGUUACAAUUACAGUAAAUCUAACGGCUACACAUCAUAAUAAGAAACCAUCUCCUGCAGACUUUGUCAACCAACCAACAUCAGCUUUAGUGCUCCGCAAUGCCAAUUGGUUUGUAGUUUUUCUUCUCGCCAAUCUCUGCAUCUAAACAUUGAUUACUAAGUUGUUCUUUGUUUUCUAUAUCGACGGACACUCUCGACACGAGACUUGGAGCCCUCUGAACUUAGCUACUUGGGCUUUUCUAUUAUCUUAAUUGUGCUGUUAUUUUGUGAUGUUGCCUGAGCACCCUUUGGAUAUUUCUGGUUCUCGCUUUUGAUAUGUAUUAAUGAACUCCGACUAUGUAAUAUUGUACCUUGUUUAAGUUUAUGAAAUAUCGCUGUUUAUUAA